UACUCCUAAACACAAUAUACACACCAACAACACUCCAAAAUACGACCAGCAAUACCAAGAAAAGCAACACACACAGAAAAAGAAACAUUCUUUUCUCCCCAAAUACACACACCUACGGAAAAAAAAAACAAUCGGUAACAUACCCACAAAUAUAUUCAUCUCUUUAUUUCCUUUUUUCAUUACUUUUAUAUAUACACAACACACAUCCAC
rnacentral:lncRNA from 1 species